GGAGGUAAAAUUCAUUUGGGUGGUAAAUUGUAUGACCGAGCAAUAAACCAUGAAAGUAGUGUAGUGCAGAAUUGUAAAAAGUGGUCUGGUCAUUAAGGGGGUUUAAGCUAAGGGAGCUGAGAUGGUUAAACGGAAUCUUCUAUUGCCCGGGUGCC